UACGUAGGGUGCAAGCGUUGUCCGGAAUUAUUGGGCGUAAAGAGCUCGUAGGCGGUUUGUCGCGUCGAAUGUGAAAACCCGGGGCUCAACCCCGGGCCUGCAUUCGAUACGGGCAGACUAGAGUUCGGUAGGGGAGUCUGGAAUUCCUGGUGUAGCGGUGAAAUGCGCAGAUAUCAGGAGGAACACCGGUGGCGAAGGCGGGACUCUGGGCCGAUACUGACGCUGAGGAGCGAAAGUGUGGGGAGCGAAACAGG
rnacentral:rRNA from 1 species